rnacentral:lncRNA from 1 species
GUGAGACUGUGAAUUCUUCAAAAGCAGGUACUGUGUUUAAUGAAGUGUGCCCAGGACUUUGCUCAGUGACUGGAUGACACAGUAGGAGUAACAAGAAAGUUCACAUGGGUGAACCGUGAAGCAUUUUCUAAAACAAGGUGCAGCAAUCAGUUGAGUGAAUUUGUCACCAGAGCUUAUGUUUUCUGAAAGAACCCUAUCCUCAGGCAGUUGUUCCUAAGAGGACCCCACUGGAAAUCGGACUGUUCAACUCACCUGGCAGCCACUCACAGAGCCCGUGGAACUCUGGCCCAAGGCUCUCUGACUCCUUCUCGGCUUAGCGGCUAAAGACUGACACUGCCCGAUCGCCUCGGAAGCCCCGUAGACCAUCACGGACGCCGAGCUUUAGGUAACUCUCACAGUGGAGGAUGAAGAAACUGAGGUCCAGAGAAGUUAAACGACCUUCCUAAGAUUACACAGCUUAGUAAGUGGCAGAACCACAGCUGGAAGCCAGGUCCUUCCUCACGCAAGUCCUGGCUCAUUCAUUCCUCUUCCAAAGACUUGCUGAGCACCUUCUAGGUGCCAGAUGCGGUGCUGGCUCCUGGGGACAUGGGAGUGAACAGGCCAGGCGUGGCCCUGAACCAUCAAAUAGACAACCACAGAAAUAACAACAACAAAGACAAAACCGGGCCCUUCCACACAGUAGCUGGAACACAAAGGAAGAUCAGCCAAGCCUCAACAUAAUCUCAUAAAAAUUCUUCAAAUAUCCCAUUGUUAUGGAUUCAUACAUCAGGAAAGCAGAUGCCAAGAACCUGAACACCUUCUACUGGUAACAUAUAUUUUGGCGAGCCAGCCUGGAGACAAGACCACUAUGGGCAACUUCCUGUCUAUUCUACCUGGUGUCACUGUGGACAACUUCCUAUCUAUUCCACCCGAUUCACCGCUUGGCUACAUCCUCCACCAUUGGGAUGAAUUUGACCCUAACAAUCUAAAGAAAAGGCAUAUGAUUUUUUACUGCAAUAUUGUUUGACACAAUUAUGAGCUGCCCAAUCCGGAACAAUGGGCAGUCAAUGGUAGCCUUAAUUAUGAUACCAUCCUGUAUCUAGACCUAUUUUACAAGAGGCAGGGCAAAUGGUCAGAAGUCCCACAUAUACAGGCCUACAUGACCCUAUACGAAGACCUAAGAAUCUAGGAAACUCCCAGAACCCAUCCCCCGAAGGAAAGUUCUGGGGCAGAACUAGAUAUUAUAGAUGAACCCCCUUUUACAAGGGAUACCUGUCUCUCAGAGUGAGCAGUGACUGUCCCCAUAUAACCCCUCACCAAGUGCUCCUGAGGCUGAAACCCAGGGGCAAACAUGGGGAACCCUACUAAGUCCCCCUCACACUUGGAGGGGAACACUGUAUUCAACUCUCUAUCCAGCCCUGCUACUCUCAGAGAAAUAGCAGGGGCUGAGGGGCCAAUCCUAGUGUGGGUCCCCUUCUCUAUGAUUGAUAUACAACAAUGUAAGGAAAAGCUAGGAAGCUAUUCUGAGGAUUCCGGGAAGUUUGCAGAUGGGUUCCAAACUUUGACCUUAGCCUUUGAUCUCUCAUGGAGAGACGUUCAAUUCACUCUAGCAACCUGUUGCACCUCCUCGGAAAAGGAACGAAUCUUUGAGGCUGCCCUCCGAGAAGUGGACGAAUUAUUCACCCAAAACCGUAAAGGCAGUCACCCAGGCCCAGCCACAGUUCCCACUACGCAUCCUAAUUGAGACCAAGACACCCCCGCAGGAAGGAACAACUGGGCUAAAUUUCUUGAGGCUCUUGGAGGAAUGAGAAAGGGAAUAACUAAGGCAGUAAAUUAUGAUAAAGUAAGGCAGAUUACACAAGGCAGGGAGGAAAACCCAGCUGUGUUUUACGGCAGGCUGCGGGAAGCCUUUAAAAAAUAUAUACUAAUUUGGUCCCUUCCUCUCCUGAAGGCAAGUUAUUAAUGGCACAACGUUUCAUUAGCCAAUCCACACCAGACAUUAGACGUAAGCUCCAAAAGCUACACAUGGGGCCACAAACUAACCAAAAUCAGCUUCUUGGUACUGCCUUCAUGGUGUAUAACAAUCGUGACCUGGAGGAAGGAGAAGGGAAACAGAGUAAAGAAAAACGGCAAGCCAAAAUUAUGUUAGCCAUCACUGGUGAUGCCCUAAAUGCACAAAGAUUGUCCAAGGGAAACUCAAAGGGCCAUAAGGAUAAUGCCAGCAAAGGCUCUUGCUUCAAAUGCAAUAAAAGUGCGAUUGGGCACAGGAAUCCACUAAGCCCCCGCCAGUCCCCUGCCGUCAAUGUAAAAGCACCAGUUGUGGCUCCUGGCCCUGGAGAAUUGACUGUCCCUGCUCCCACCAAGGGGCUCAGUCAGUCAAAACUCUGGCAGUGCACAAGGAGGAAUCAGAUGAAGACUGAAGGGGCCUGGGGCCUUCCUCACUGCCCCGUCUAGGAACAUUGUAAUUACUACUGAGGAACCCUGGGUAACUCUGGACAUCAUGGCCACCCAAAUUCAGUUUUUAUGUGAUACCAAGGUGAAUUAUUCUGUACAACUGCUUAUGCAGGAAAACUUUCCUCCCGGUCCAUGAGUGAUAUUGGAUGGAAGGGAAGCCACAAACAAGAUUCUUACUCCUCCUUUGGUUUGUCAAUUUGAGAAACAAAUCUUCCAACAGGAAUUUUUAGUAGUACCAAGCUGCCCAAUUCCCCUGUGGGAAAGAGAUAUUAUGGUGAAAAUAGUGACACUACUGCAAUUUAAGCAAUAUUAGCAGGUGAAACUGCUAAUAGUAAGAAAUAAGGCAAUGUCCCAGACCAUGUCAAUAAACAGGUUAACCCACUGGCAUGGUAUACUGGAAACCCAGGGAAGGCUAAAACAGCAGUGCCAGUCAAAAUACAGCUUAAAGACCCCAGCCAUUUUCCCAAUGGAAAACAAUACCCAGUUGAACAGGAAGCAAGCAAAGGUCUAGCUCCCAUAGUUGAGAUAUUACUUACCCAUGGACUCUUAAAACCCUGCAAUUCUCCCUGCAAUACCCCCAUCUUACCUGUUCUCAAGCCUGGGGGGAAUACCAGCUAGUACAGAACCUCAGAAUAAUGAAUGAGGCUGUUAUCCCCGUCCACCCAUUGGUGGCAGAUCCAUAUGCCCUCCUGGCUCAGGUGCCAGGGCAUGCAAAAUGGUUCUCAGUCCUAGACCUUUCUUCUCCAUUCCUCUGGCCCCGAGCCCCCCAGUACCUUUUUGCUUUCGAAUGGGAAAAUCCUAAUACCAGAUAAAAACAAUACACUUGGACAGUGCUUCCUCAGGGCUUUCGGGAUAGCCCCCACUUCUUUGCCUGAGCAUUAGAGCGGGAUCUGAGGGAUUUCAAGUUAGAAAAUGGAGGUAUUCUUCAGUAUGGGGAUGACCUUGUGUGUAGCCCAACCUAGGAGGUUUCUGACCAAAAUACUAUAAAAACUUUGAAUUUCCUGGCAGACAGAGGAUACAAAGUGUCCAAAAAGAAGGCUCAGAUUACCCUCCAAUGGGUCCACUAUUUAGGAUAUGUCUUAACACCCGGAACCCGGCAAAUAUCCCCAGAAGGAGUGCAAGCUAUAUGUGGUUUGGCCGCGUGCACCACCCCCAGCCCCCACCCUGACCCACCUCCAAGCAGCAGCUUUGUUCCUUUUUGGGGAUGGCCGGGCUUUGGAGAAUAUGAGUACCAAAUUUUGGGCUCAUAGCAAAGCCCCUAUAUGAAGCAACAAGGGGGCCUGAAAAUGAGCUAAUGGAAUGGACCCCGGAAAUGAGGAAAGCCUUUGCCAAGUUAAAACAGGUUCUCACCCAGGCUCCUGCUCUUGGUAUCCCAGACCUAAUUAAGGCCUUCUCCUUGUAUGUAGCAGAGAAGAGGGGCAUAGCUGUGGGAGUGCUAGCCCAGAAAUUAGGAUCAGAACCCAGACCAACCGCCUACUUCUCAAAAAAGUUGGACGGAGUGGCCUCAGGAUGGCCAAGUUGCCUGCGGGCAAUAGCAGCCACUGCUGUUAGUGGAGGAAGCCACUAAAAUCACCCUAGGGCAACCACUGGAAGUUCUAACGCUCCAUCAGGUAAAGUUAGUCUUAGAAAUAAAGGGACACAUCUGGAUGACAGGGGAAAUGUUAACUAAAUACCAGCCCAUGCUCCUAGACAAUCCAGAUAUAACUCUUAAAACCUGCAACACUUUAAAUCCAGCUUCAUUGCUGCCCACAGGCCCAAUAAUUGAUCAUUCCUGUGAGCAGGUCAUUGCACAUACAUAUGUUAGCCAGCCUGAUUUAAAAGAUGAGGCUCUCCCAGAUUCUGAAGCUGACCGGCUCACAGACGGCAGUAGUUCUUUGUCGAAUGGGGAGCACAGAGCUGGAUAUGCAGCAGUAAAUCAUGACACAAUUAUUGAAGCCCAGCCAGUGCCCCCUGGCACAUCAGCACAAAAGGCUAAAAUCAUUGAUCUUACUCAAGCAUUAAUGUUGGGACAAGGGAAAAAACUUAACAUCUAUACAGAUUCUAAAUAUGCAUUCCUUGUGGUUCAUGCUCAUACCGCCAUCAGGAAAGAAAGGGGAUUACUUACUAGCAAGCACUCCCCUAUAGAGCAUGGACCUGAAAUUCUGCAGCUAUUGAAGGCAAUACACCUGCCAAAGGCCAUAGCUAUCAUUCAUUGUAGGGGGCAUCAAAGGGACUUAACCCCUAUAGCACAAGGGAAUGGAAAGGCUGACGGAAGCCAAAGCAAAAGCCCUCAGCGUGCAAUCCCAACAGAUCCUAGCACUGCUUCCUUUCUACAAUUCCCCAGUAGAACCCAAAUACACACCACAGGAAGAACAGCUAAUAAAAAAAGCAAGGGAGACAAAAACAAGGAUCCUGGUGGCAUAUGGAGCCAAAAAUAUAUCUCCCUCAGGCAGCCCAGUGGAGAGUUAUAAAAGCCCUGCAUGACUCUUUCCAUGUGGGGAGGGAUGCGGCUCUGGCCAUGGUAAACAAGUUCUUUACUGGGUUUAACUCAGCUUCAAUGGCUAAGCAGGUCUGUCAAGCCUGCUCACUGUGUGCAUUUAACAAUCCAGGCAUCAAAAUGCCCCCUCUAAUAAAACCAGUCCAAAGGAGGGGAACUUAUCCAGGGGAAGACUGGCAGUUAGACGUCAUCCAUAUGCCAGCUUGCAGAGGAUACAAGCUUUUGUUAAUACUAAUAGAUACUUUUAGGUUGGGUCAAAGGUUACCCCAGAAAAGGCUAAUGAGGUUCUAAGGUCCUCUUAAAAGAAAUAAUUCCCCAGUUUGGGUUACCUCAGGGUCUCCAAAGUGAUAAUGGCUAAUCCUUUAUCUCCCAAAUAACUCAAGGGGUUGCUAAGGCUCUUGGAAUAAAAUACUAUUUACAUUCAGCCUGGAGGCCCCAAUCCUCUGGAAAAGUGGAAAGGGUUAACCAAACUCUAAAAUAAGCACUAGCUAAACUAUGUCAGGAAACAUCAGAAACUUGGGUUAGCUUAUUGCUCACAGCCCUUUUAAGAAUUUGUAAUACCCCUAGCUCAAAAAUUAACAGAAGCCCAUAUAAAAUGUUAUACAGAAGGCCAUUCUUAACUAAUGAUUUAAUUAUUGACCCAGAAAGAGUUGGUGUAAUUAAAUACCUAGUCAACCCAGAACAAUUCCAGCGGGUUUACAAGAGUUUGGAAUUCAAAGGCUCCUCACACUUGGAACUAACCAGCAACCCAAAAUCAGGCCAGGAGAUAGGGUACUUGUUAAAACAUGGAAUGAGGGAUCACCUGCCCAACAAUUACAACCCCAAUAGAAGGGACUUUUUUCAGUAAUACUGGCCACGUCUUCUGUGGUCAAAGUACUAGUAUUAGAUAGCUGGAUACAUCUUUCAAGGAUCAAACCAUCAAUACCAGAAGCUCCAGACCAGGAACCUGAAGUUCCCAUCAGCCAGUACACCUGUGAACCAGUGGAGGACCUGAAGUACCUGUUUAAAAGAUAGCCAAAAGAUAAGUAAAUGCCUACCAACUUUCUUUGGUGUCUUUGUUGCAUAGUUACUGUGGGCUGGAAAAUAGUAGCCAUUUUUAUCUUUGCAGUUUAAUUGCCUUCUUCCAAAUAGAUAAAAAUCACUUCCUUUGUAAUAAUUAAACAGAAUUUAAAAAAUACAUUUCUAUGACAAAUAUUCCUGAUGGCAUAAGUAUCCACCCCAAGGUUCCCAUUAAAUCUUUUAACCUAAAGUAUUUCCUCUCACCUAGAGAUCAUCGAGCUGUGUGACAAGGGUGCCAGCCACUCCAGGUGAAGACACCACCCCAGGCCAUCAAGGAUCUUCCCUACCUUCACUAAACAGAGCAGGGUGAAAGUUGUGUGAUCCCCAAUAGGUAGGGACUACACCCCAAGUCAGCAGGAAGCAGUUACAGAAGAAAGACCAUUGGUCCCUCUGCUUCCCAUAAAGAUUUAUGGGGAUCACAGCUUUCACGGGGGAGAUGAGGCAAGAGAAUAGGGCAUGCAGGCAGGGUACUUGAGGCCAAUCCACGCUGACUUCCUAGAACUGAAUUAAAUGAAAGCUCCUCAGCAAUGACAGGAAUGUGAAUGGCUUUGUAACUUCUUCCUCUCCAUUAAUGCUAUUUCCACUUUGUAACUUCACUUUCAUCCUCUCCAUUUACAUAGAUCACACACCAAGUAACAUCCUCUCCAUUUACAGUAGGGCGCAUUCCGAGUCAAUGACUCUGACUGCACUUCGUUCUCCUCAUUUACAUAGAACAUUCGCCAAGUAACCAAUGGGAAACCUCUAGAGUAUUGAAACUCCAGAAAAUUCCGUAAGUGGGGCUCUUGAGCGUCUACACUCGGGUCGCUCCCACACUGUGGCGUGUACUUUUAUUCUCAAUAAAUUCCCGCUUUUGCUUUCCUCGUUC